GUAGGUGGCAAGCGUUGUCCGGAAUUAUUGGGCGUAAAGCGCGCGCAGGCGGUUCUUUAAGUCUGAUGUGAAAGCCCACGGCUCAACCGUGGAGGGUCAUUGGAAACUGGAGAACUUGAGUACAGAAGAGGAAGCGGAAUUCCACGUGUAGCGGUGAAAUGCGUAGAGAUGUGGAGGAACACCAGUGGCGAAGGCGGCUUUCUGGUCUGUAACUGACGCUGAGGCGCGAAAGCGUGGGGAGCAAACAGGGAUUAGAUACCCUGGUAGUCCACGCCGUAAACGAUGAGUGCUAAGUGUUAGGGGGGUUUCCGCCCCCGUUAGUGCUGCAGCUAACGCAUUAAGCACUCCGCCUGGGGAGUACGGCCGCAAGGCUG
rnacentral:rRNA from 1 species